CUCACAGUGACAGUUAAAAAGAAAGAAGCAUCGGUGUGGUUUGUGCGACGACAAGACAAAAGGUCUGCUUUAAGUACGAAACUGGAAAUCAUGCCACCCACCCUCACCCAACAUGCCCGCCCGGCGUCCUUUGACAGGCAGCUUCCAGUUUAUGAGUGUUACCUCAGCGUCUCCUGGGAGUCACUGCGCCCUCUGCAACACACCCAGCGACAGAAAGAUGGGUUAAAACCAUCCUGCGCCGGGGGACAGGGAGUGCAUAUGGUAACCCACACCAGGCAAACCCGGCUGCUACACACGUCAGGGUCAUAAAUCUCUCUGCAGCAUUGGCGGGUUGAUUUUUUUGACGGAUUUUGAUUUGAAGGUGGAGACAAGAAGAGCCGAGGGAAGAGGAGGACAGGGUGACUCUGGUUGAAAUUACACCUUCUUUAAGAAAAGUUUAACUUCUGUUUUAUGAUUUGGGUUCUAUAUUUUUCUUUUUAAACAUAAUAUUCAUAAUUCUUUGAUUUGAUAGGUAGGCUUUUUUACUUCUCCCUGCAGACCAAUAGAAUAAAUAUAAGAAUAAAUGUUAUCUUGAUGUCAUUUGAUUCAAAAAAGUUCAAUACCAUAUUUCCUUAAAAUAUGAUGAGGAUAUAAGUGUGUGAGACUCUUUAAUUCAACAUCUUAUAGGACAGAAUUCCUCAUGUUUCAAUUCAUUUCUGCAGUCUUUAACAAUUCUACAACCUGUAUUUGCUUCCCUGUGUGUAUUUGUAAGUGUUUUUGCAUGUGGGAUACUGUGAGAGCUGCUGCCAUUCUCUGAGGAGCAGUUAACAGAGGAUCUAACUAGCACUGAUGAAAAUAAAUCACCACUGGCUCAAA